AGAAUCAACGCUGGCGGCGUGCCUAACACAUGCAAGUCGAACGCGGUUACCUCGCAAGGGGUAACUGAGUGGCGAACGGGUGAGUAACACGUGGGUGACCUACCUUCGAGUGGGGGAUAACGUCCCGAAAGGGACGCUAAUACCGCAUGACAUCCUGUUCUUGAACGGAUGGAGAUCAAAGCCGGGGAUCGCAAGACCUGGCGCUUGAAGAGGGGCUCGCGUCCGAUUAGCUAGUUGGUGAGGUAACGGCUCACCAAGGCGACGAUCGGUA
rnacentral:rRNA from 1 species